AGAAGAGGAUCGUUUAAUUUAAAAAGAAAGAUUGAUUCUCCAGAUGAUUGCCCGGUAACCAGCAAUGCCAUUGAGAGACAGUACCAGCAAAACCGUGACAGCAGCAUGUCCUUCACAGUGAACACAGACUCCUACGAGCUGGACCUUAAAGCAAAGAGGCUAACCAACGUGGAGACCAACAGUCUUCGCAAGAUAAGACGUGUGUUGCUGCCCCCUGAAUGAAAAUGUGUAGCAGUUUCCUGUUAAUGCACUUCAUGUCACUGAGUUCACGCUCACAGACAGCAGCAGAUCAGAACAAGGAUCAGCUGAACCACCAUCAGAAGGACGAGGGCUUCACGGCAGCCUUCUUAGUCGCCAUACAAACAAGAUGCUGUCAGAUCUUGUUUUGGCACUUCAGCAACUAGCAACUUUUUUUGGAAAGUGUAAGGGCCUUUGAAAGAAUAUUCUGCUUUCAAACUUGGUAAACUGCAUACAUAUUGGAGAUUUGUCUACAUCAUCUAAUGCCACCCAGCUGAACUCCUCUUACCAGGAUAAUUUAAAUGUUAUGUUUAAGUGUUGCUUUAAAGCGACUCUUACCGUUCUUGCAUUUCACAUAGCACUUU